rnacentral:misc_RNA from 1 species
AAAGUGCGAUAAGCAAUGCGAAUUGCAGAAUUCCGCGAAUCAUCAGAUCCUUGAACGCAACUGGCGCUAGGGGGCUCUCCUCCUAGCAUGUCUGUUUCAGUGUCUGAAAACAUCCUAAUCCUAAACUUAAUGUGGUUGAUGACGAAAAAGUUACUUUCUUCUUUGAAAUCUCCCAUGAAAGAUGUACAUGUGGGUCUUUGGACCCUUCAUCGAAUUUGGUCACUGUCUUUUCAGUGAUUUCGAUAAGGGAAUAUAAAACAAUCCAAUUACCUUAGAUACAUGUAGGACUUAAUAACAAAGUCUUCAAACUCUGCAUCUGAAAUCAGGCAAGAACACCCGCUGAACUUAA